AGGACUGUGCUGGCGUUAUUCUCUUUGCUGCUGAAAAUGCUACCCAAGUUGCUCUGCAGGCAAUCCAGUGUUUAGGUGGGAAUGGCUAUGUGAAUGAGUAUCCUACGGGGCGUCUAUUAAGAGAUGCAAAAUUAUUUGAAAUUGGUGCUGGCACAAGCGAAAUAAGAAGGAUGCUAAUUGGUCGUGCCUUGUUCAAAGAGGAGUAGUAUUGAUGCUCUCCUUACAAUGAUGCAUCUGAUAAAAUGCAUUAAUUUUAAAUUAGUUUUGUUUUCCUUUACAAAUAUUAUAAUGCUAGGGGCAGAAAGCUUUCAAGUGUACUGUUUGUAGAUCAAACUUUUAGUUGUAAUAAUAACGUGCUUCUCAUAUUUCCUUCGGAAUUUGCUUUCCAGAAAGUUCCUCAUUGUGGCCUUUUAUCAUUAACUUAAUCAAGGAAACUCGAUGGAUACCAGGUUCAAAUAAAAUGAUUUAUUAGGGAGGUAGAAAAAAAUAGUUUAUUAGGAGGUAGAAAAUAUUGGAAAUCCAGAAAAAAAAAAUGAAAAAAGUUUAUAAAGGAAUUGAGAAGUCUAGACCGAAUCAGGAACACCAAGCAGGUCUGAAAAAUUCAGAUCUGGCAGGAUUUGGUUCAAAAAAUCUUAACUUGUGAACUAGGGAUGUAUAUUGCAGAACCAUUGCAUAGAAUGUGAUCAUCACAAUCUUAUUUGCUGUUAUUGGUUUUAGUAAUUGCAAUGAAGUUUUAAAGUUAAGAUUUGCAAA